ensembl:lncRNA
UUGACUUUCUAUGGAAUUUUCGAACGGAAAGAGGAGAAGCGUGAACAUGUCAUCUCCUGUCCGACAUAAUGUAGCGAAGACGCAUCUUUCGACAGGAUCCGGUCUAUCUGGCCGAGUAUACCAGACUGUUUUAAAGUGAUUCUUUGUUGGACUAUGCGCAGCAGUCUGAUCACAUCUAAAUGCUGGUGUAUCGUUUGUAAGGAUCUCUAUAUCUCGCAAUUGAUUCGUCAUCUCGAGGACUUGGACUUAUCAAGUAGCGUCAGAGCACAGAAGGCAUUUCCAUCAAUUUCAAGUGUCCACCUCUCCUGCUGUAGCCCAUCAGAGUCUACAUCAGUCCAGUGUCAGCAACAGAGAGCCACGUUCAGGAUGAUCCACCGCCAUCCAACAGUCAGCGUCCAUCAUGUCAACAACACGCUACGGAGCUCCACCGAACCCCCCCGCGGCAGGGCCCUGGAUGGUAGCUCCAGGGAGCCUCAGCUGAGGGUCACUCCCGUCCAGGUGGCGCGCGUCAGCCCCGGGGACACGAGACGGGGUGGCAAAAAAAGAAUGGCGAAGACAUUGUGCCGCGGGGGCUCGGUCGGCGACGGGGUGCGGCGGUUCGCCGGGCUCAAGCCAAAUGAUCGAGGCACGCGGGCCGAUUUCAACACCGACGACAGCGAUCUGUCCGAUCAAGAGAAAGGGGGCGCCGAGGUCCACGGUUGGGCCACGCCUGCAGCCGAACUCCGGUUGAGGCCCGACCCUUUCGGGUCAGACUCGGACGUCAGUGUACCCGUGUUGCCGGACGCUGAAUUUCAGUACGAAGAGGUGCUCCCCGCACCUCUGAAUGGGCUGGAUCUGACCCGAGGUCUGCCCAGCGCGGCCGAAUGGGAGGGCGAGCCUUCGCUGGCUGCCAUCGUAAACCGACUGUCUGAGAUGGCGGCGCUCCAAGCGGCCACGGUGCAGCGAGAGCUGACCAGAACGGCCCGGUGUCGGCUGGUCACGAAUGCCAGCUUUACCAGGAGCAGUCCUCGCUUGAGGAAAGCUGAUUUCCCAGAAUUCAAAUCGGAAUCUGCGCCAACCAGCAGGUAUGGUACAGUGGUGUCCAGUUUGAUGAAACUGAGCCUGACGCGUGACCUGUGCACUAGGCGGAGUGGACAGGCUUGUGCUCUUUACAAACAGAAUCGUGCCAGAGUCUUUAAACGGUCCUGUUCGAGCCCAACCAAACCAAACAGCACAGAGGCCCGGGGCCAGGCCCGGGGCGGCGGAUCAGCACCAAAAUCUAGAGCUGGCAACAAAGACAGAAAAAUCAAAGCUAACAGGAAAGGCACAUUUUGUUCCCACCGAGAGCCACCAUCAAACUCAGCGAAGAAAACCAAAUCCAGUGACUUGGGAAAGGCUUAA